rnacentral:rRNA from 1 species
GGCGAACGGGUGAGUAAUAUAUCGGAACGUACCCAAGAGUGGGGGAUAACGUAGCGAAAGUUACGCUAAUAGGCGCAUACGAUCCAUGGAUGAAAGUGGGGGACCGCAAGGCCUCAUGCUCCUGGAGCGGCCGAUAUCUGAUUAGCUAGUUGGUGAGGUAAAGGCUCACCAAGGGCGACGAUCAGUAGCUGGUCUGAGAGGACGACCAGCCACACUGGGACUGAGACACGGGCCAGACUCCUACGGGAGGCAGCAGUGGGGAAUUUUGGACAAUGGGCGCAAGCCUGAUCCAGCAAUGCCGCGUGAGUGAAGAAGGCCUUCGGGUUGUAAAGCUCUUUUGUCAGGGAAGAAACGGCCGGGGCUAAUAUCCCGGUAAUGACGGUACCUGAAGAAUAAGCACCGGUUAACUACGUGCCAGCCGCCG